UUUCCUUUUCCAUUUUAAGAAUAGUGUUCUUCAUUAAUGAUAAAAUCUAAAUUCUUCAUAAUACCUGCUAUCUGAGGCAAUUUACAUUGACUCUUUUUGCUGGUCACACUGGCUGUCUCUCCCUAACUUUGAUGAACUAAUAAUUUAUUUAUACAAUUCCUUGGAAUAUAAAAACAAAUAAAUAUAUAAUAUAUAGUAGAUACAUUAAAAUAAAUAGAUAUUAGAUAUGGAGUAUAUACAUCCAUUACACACACACACACACAUACACAUACAAAAACAGAGAAAGAAAAUAUGUGUGCAAAACCAGAAUAGAGCAUUUUUAAUAUAAAGCUGGCUUACAUUGAUUGACUUGAUUUCUUUGGCCAUCUAUUUCAGUUUUGCUGCAAUUUUCCAGUAAUGAAAUAAAUGAGAUUCCAUCUGUCAGUCUACAUCCAAAUGCAAUCUGUUAGCAUUGUCUAGUUUGUGUAGGCAGCUCGCCAUAAGCAGGUCUAUCUUAUAUCCUAUCUUCUUACCACUACUCACUCUUUCAUAUAAAUAUCAAGAAAUAUGAUGAGACGAGUUUCUGAACAUAGAUUGGGAAUGCUAACUAUUCGGGGUGGAAGCAAAGUUGUUUUUAAUACUGAAAGAUGGCGUUAUUGGGCUUCUAUUUGCAUGCAUUUUUUUUUUCCCAGAAGAGUGACCUCAACAUAUAUUUACAAAUGGCUGCCUUUAUUUGGAAUCAAAUAUUUCUCCUGAAUGAAACAACAGAACCACAGGGCUUUAGCUUCAAUAAUGCCUUGCUCUAAAACAGUGCCAGACAAUACAUGGUAAUAGCUUUGCAAACUGGAACUAAUUCAGGGAAGACAGGUGAUGUGGCAAGAUGGGGAAAUCCCAUGGAGUGCUCAUUUCUCUCAGGCAGGACCAGAUCUUCCUCAGCGUCAGUUGGCAGCACUAUUUCACACUGAUUUUACACAUUUUACAUAUUCUGUACCUGAAUGGCAGCUAUAGCAAUGGAAUAUUUGGAAGCGAGGAGGAUAUUAAUAGCUUACUGAAACAUGACAAUGAACACACAUUAUCAAUACUAGUGGGUGAUGCUCUGAAAUACUGGUCACUAAUGCUAGAGUUUUGCUCUGCCACUAACUAAUUAUGUGUGCUUGAGUAAGUCAGAUGUUCUCUAAUUUUUUUAGAUGUUCUCUAAUAAAUUGUCCCAUUCCUAUUUCAUAAAUAACCACAUUGAGCCCUACCCUAAGAAAACCUUAUAUUAAAUGUGUCACCCAAGUUUCCUUUAAAAUUACCAAUUGUUGUAGAUACUAAUGUGGUUAUUUUAAUGCAUAUUAUUUAAGUAUACUAUGGUUUUUGACAAUAUUCUGUUAAUUUUGGUAUAUCAAAGGGUAAGAAAACUAAAAAGCAGAGAAAUUAGGUGGGUCUCCAUAAUAAUAACAAUAAAAAUUCUAUCAUUUAUUGAAAAUUUACCAUGUGGCAUAUACUAAGGGUUAUACACAGAUUAUUUCUAAUUCAACUAUCCUUCAAGGGUUUGGCAAUAUUAUCCUCGUUUUGCAGAUGAGAAAAAUGAGAUUUGGAACAUAAGUACAUCAAAAGGUGUGCAAUUAGUAAGUGGUCGAGACAUGCUUAGAACUGAGAUCCAAAUGACUCCCAGGCCGGUGUUGUCUCAACUACAACACAGUUCCUCUCGUUUUCAAGAAUAUGAACAGGGAUUCCCAUUGUGGCUCGGUGGUAACAAACUCUACAAGUAUCCAUGAGGAUGUGGGUUUGAUCCCUGGCCUUGCUUAGUGGGUUAAGGAUCUGGCAUUGCCAUGAGCUGUGGUUUAGGUCUCAGACCUGGCGCAGACCUGGCGUUGCUGUGGCUGUGGUGUAAGCUGGCAGCUGCAGCUCCAAUUCAACCCCAAGCCUGGGAACUUCCAUAUGCCGCACCUGUGGCCCUAAAAAAAAAAAAAAAAAAAAAAGGGAUAUGAACAGCAAAUGGCCUGUUUUUCUCUGAUCUUAGAUUGUUUCCAUUCCAUUUCCCUCAAUAAGCACUUUAGGCAUGGCCCUAAAGUCUAAGUAAGAUGAACAGUCAUAAAAUUCUAUGCUCUUCUAGGCUAAAAGGAAGAAUUUUAAUUUCCCUCCUCAGGAGACCAAACUCAAAGUGCACACACUAAUUAACCAUUACCAACUGAUAUAUGUUACUGGGCUGAAGAAAGAGACCAGGAGUCCUGCACAAUUAUCUCUUCUAGGAAGACUCCUUGGAGCUUUUCUUUCUCUUACAAAACAGCAGUAUUAGAAGGUAAGAAGAUAAAGUCAUAAGAAUUGAAAAGCUUAAAUACCUCUGGAAUGAAUGAGAAUAAGCAUUACAUGCAUAUACCAACAUAGAAAGAGACAAAGCAGCCCUCAGUCUCUCUAGCACAGGUCUCUGAUACUUUAAAACAGGGAAACAACCUUCAUUUUUAUUCUAUCAAAAUGCAUAAGCUUAUAUUUCAAUUCACAUAAGUAAUGAAUUGUGUGCUAAUCACAUUUUUGUAGGAUUAAUAUUGGAAACUAUAUUUCUAAAGUGAGGAAUUUUGGAGUUCCUGUCAUGGCGCAGUGGUUAACGAAUCCAACUAGGAACCAUGAGGUUGUGAGUUUGAUCCCUGGCCUUGCUCAGUGGGUUAAGGAUCCAGUGUUGCCGUAAGCUGUGGUGUAGGUCGCAGACACAGCUCAGAUCCUGCAUUGCUGUGGCUGUGGCAUAGACCAGUGGCUACAGCUCUGAUUAGUCCCCUAGCCUGGGAAUCUCCAUGUGCCGUGGGUGUGGCCCUAGAAAAGCCAAAACCAAAACCAAAACAAAACAAAAUAUAAAGUGAGUAAUUUAAUCUUUUUCUUCUUCCCAAUGAUGAAGUCAUCAGGGAAAGACAUUGGCCAUUGUCAGGAGUUUGGGAUGCAGAGUUUCUUGACUUUACCUUUUUUUUUUUCUUCUUUUUAGGGCCACACCUGUGGCAUAUUGAAGUAUGGUGGUUUAGGUCUCAGACAUGUGUGUCUGGAUGAAAGUAAAACAUUUCAAAAUAUUUACAUGGAUGAAAGUAAAACAUUUCAAAAUAUUUUCAGGCAAUCUGAAGGCUUUCCUUAACUAUGAUGUAAAAGGACCAUCUGUACUGUAAUUGGUGUUACCUUCAAGAAGAAUUAUUAUAGCAAAACAGAUUAAUAAGACAACACAUGAUAUAGGUGGGUUGACUAG
rnacentral:lncRNA from 1 species